AUGAACGCUAGCGACAGGCCUAACACAUGCAAGUCGAGGGCAGCACAAGGAGCAAUCUGAGGUGGCGACCGGCGCACGGGUGAGUAACACGUAUGCAACCUGCCUGUAAGCGGGGAAUAACCCGUUGAAAGACGGACUAAUACCGCAUAAUACUAAAUUACUGCAUGGUAAUUUAUUUAAACAUUUAUGGCUUACAGAUGGGCAUGCGCAUGAUUAGCUAGUUGGAGAGGUAACGGCUCCCCAAGGCAACGAUCAUUAGGGGUUCUGAGAGGAAGGUCCCCCACACUGGUACUGAGACACGGACCAGACUCCUACGGGAGGCAGCAGUGAGGAAUAUUGGUCAAUGGACGAGAGUCUGAACCAGCCAAGUCGCGUGCAGGAAGAAUGUCCUUAAUGGAUUGUAAACUGCUUUUGCAGGGGAAUAAAGUGCAUCACGUGUGAUGUUUUGUAUGUACUCUGCGAAUAAGGAUCGGCUAACUCCGUGCCAGCCGCAGC
rnacentral:rRNA from 1 species